rnacentral:rRNA from 1 species
UACGGAAGGCAGCAGUGGGGAAUAUUGCACAAUGGGCGAAAGCCUGAUGCAGCUAUGCCGCGUGUAUGAAGAAGGCCUUAGGGUUGUAAAGUACUUUCAUCGGGGAGGAAAAACAAAACUAAUAAUUUUAUUUCUUGACGUUACCCGAAAAAGAAGCACCGGCUAACUCCGUGCCAGCAGCCGCGGUAAUACGGAGGGUGCUAGCGUUAAUCAGAAUUACUGGGCGUAAAGAGCACGUAGGUGGUUUUUUUAAGUCAGAUGUGAAAUCCCUGGGCUUAACCUGGAACUGCAUUUUGAAACUGAAAUACUAGAGUAUCGUAGAGGGAGGUAGAAUUCUAGGUGUAGCGGUGAAAUGCGUAGAUAUCUGGAGGAAUACCUGUGGCGAAAGCGGCCUCCUAAACGAAUACUGACACUGAGUGCGAAAGCGUGGGGAGCAAACAGGGAUUAGAUACC